AUCUCGUAAUAAGGACUCAUAGUUUUUUCGAUGUGGUAAGGACCUAACCAUUCAUCGUCCAAUUUAUCUGCUUUGUGAUCAUUAUGUACAAGAACCUCCUUCUUUACAUACCGUUUGUGUUUUAAUGAUUUUUCUUUGUUGGUCUUGCAUGUAGUGUUUUCUACUUUGUUCAAGUAUUUGUCUAGCUAGUGUUUUGUAUUUGUCCAAUUGUUUUUGCCAUAGUGCGAACAUUUCUUCAUACGUGUAGUUGGAGGUUCUGGAUAUUGAGGAUGGGAGGUUAGCUUUUCCUCCAAAGCUGGUUGUUUUUAUAUGCUUUAUUUUAAAUGCUUCUUCGAACUUUGUCAUGAGUUCGCUAAUAAAGUUCUGUCCUUGCUCUGUUAGUAUAGUUUUAGGUGCUGAGAACAUGUAAAUGUAAUGAUUCAAUAAGGCGUCUGUUAUGGAUUCGGUUCUUUGUGUCUUGAGAGGUAUUAAUAUCAGGUAUUUGGUCAAAUA
rnacentral:misc_RNA from 1 species